UGGGCCUAUAGCUCAGCUGGUUUAGAGCGCACGCCUGAUAAGCGUGAGGUCGAUGGUUCGAGUCCAUUUAGGCCCAU
rnacentral:tRNA from 8 species